CUGAGCAACUCCAAGUAGCUCAUCUUCAUCUUUCAUUUCUGUAAAUAAGCCUCUAAUCCCCUAAACCCUAAUUCAGAUUCUCCCAAAACCCCAAAAUGUCUCAUCCCCACAAAGCCCUGGAUUCACGGCACCCCUUAGAUUUGUGCACAUUUCAACUCCAUAGCUGGAGACCUUUCCAGGCCCCCAAAACCCUAGACUCCUCCGAUCCCACCAACCCCAAACCCUACCACAACACCAAGCGCCCAUGCCUCUCCAACCGCGCGACGUCGUUUUCCAUCGACGCCAUCGACAUGUCCCGGCUGACUUUGGUCGACGACGACCGGACCAUCUCCGGAGGGCACGGGAGCUUCCGAUUCAUCGCCAGGAAGAGGCGGCGGCGCGGGUCGAGGUCGGUGUCGGGUCGGAGCAGCGAUCGGAGCGGGACCCGGAGGUGCUGCUCCGUCGGGGCUUCGGCGGCUUACGGGACGUGUUCGGAUUUUCCGGUGGCGAUUGGGACGGACUCGAGUGGGGAGCUGUUUGGGAAUGGGGAUGCGAAUUGGGCGUCGGAUGUGAGUGAGGCUAAGAAUUCGAGGAAGGAGAGGGAGGGAGUUGGGAGUGGAGAUAAGGAGAAUCAGGGUGCCGGGUUUGGGCCGGGUGGGGGGUUUGAUGCUCAGGGGAAUGAGUCCGGGUAUGGUAGCGAACCGGGUUACCGUGGGGAUGCAGAGUUCGGGUACGGUGAUGAACUUGAUGAGGAGGAGGAUGAUGCUCGUUUGUUGUUUUGGGGCAAUCGAUUUGGAGAUAGCGAUAGCAUGAUGGAGGUUGUGGGUGAGAAUACUUUCACAGAUCAAAAAUCGCAUCACAGAUGUCGCCGUAAGAAACAUGAUUGCAGAAUGGCUGUAGAUUCACCGAGGUGACCAAAUCGGUUGGACAGACUUGAUACAGAAGGCUUCAUUUUACAUCAUCUUGGCCUCAAUUUCCCAUUUGAAAAGAUUCUGAGAAAGUUGUUCCCUGGAGGGUAUCUGUUUAUGAAGUCCCACAUCUUGUCAUCCUUAUCAUUUUGAGAGUGAGAGACAGCUCUUGGUAAAUAUCAACAAUUCGAUUCGGAAUUUUGGGUUCAUGCCACUAUAUGUCACAUCUUUUUCAUUUUAUGCUUCAAAGGAUUCUGAGUGUGCAAUUGUGCAUUAUACUUAUCAAAUCAGCUGAAGCAGAAAGAAAGUUUUCUUUGAGGAAGCCAUGUCUGUGGUUAUUCCAAACAUGUAUCAGUAAAUGCUUGUACCUCACGUCUUCUUGGUUCGGUAAAAGCCCAAAACCCUGAAAUCCACUAAAAUAUACAUCCAUUUAGCGAACGAUGUUGUUAGCUUGAAAAUAUAAUUCAGAGAAAAGCUUAGACUGGAGAAGAGAGGCUGAAGUGAGAUGGCGACAGCAGAAGCACUGCAGGCCGACAGAUCGCUGCCCAGAGCGACUCGGAAAUCGUUUGCCGGAGAUACGGUGAUGCUGAAGGGAUCCGCGGCGGAGGUCUGACAGAAAUUCGAAGAGAAUAGGGGCGUGAUGUCAGAGGCGGAGAUCCAGAGACUCCUUGGCGAGGCUCGUGAGGCCUCCAGCUUCAUCUCCACCAUGAUCGUUCAGGCCAAGCUCAUCUCCCGCCGCGGCUACGAGUGAAGCCGGAAAAGGUUCCUGCCGGAGCUACGCUUGAGAUUCUUUCUGAAGAAAUCCUUCGCAAAUCUUAAUCUCAAUGCAACAUGAACAAUCAGAGACAAGUAAUUGAGGAACAUGGCGGCGUUGCUUAAUUUUAUUUUCUGUGCUGAAAAGCUUUCAAUGUUAUUCUAGAGCCAUUGUUGUGCUCAAAUUUCUCACUCCUUUUCCAUAUGAUGAUCAAUGAUACUUUGGCUUAUUGAACAAUCUUUCGCA